rnacentral:rRNA from 1 species
AGAGUUUGAUCCUGGCUCAGGACGAACGCCGGCGGCGUGCUUAACACAUGCAAGUCGAACGGAAAGGCCCUUUCGGGGGUACUCGAGUGGCGAACGGGUGAGUAACACGUGGGUGAUCUGCCCUGCACUUUGGGAUAAGCCUGGGAAACUGGGUCUAAUACCGGAUAGGACUACGCGAUGCAUGUCGUGUGGUGGAAAGCUUUUGCGGUGUGGGAUGGGCCCGCGGCCUAUCAGCUUGUUGGUGGGGUGAUGGCCUACCAAGGCGACGACGGGUAGCCGGCCUGAGAGGGUGACCGGCCACACUGGGACUGAGAUACGGCCCAGACUCCUACGGGAGGCAGCAGUGGGGAAUAUUGCACAAUGGGCGCAAGCCUGAUGCAGCGACGCCGCGUGAGGGAUGACGGCCUUCGGGUUGUAAACCUCUUUCAGUGCCGACGAAGCGCAAGUGACGGUAGGCAUAGAAGAAGGACCGGCCAACUACGUGCCAGCAGCCGCGGUAAUACGUAGGGUCCGAGCGUUGUCCGGAAUUACUGGGCGUAAAGAGCUCGUAGGUGGUUUGUCGCGUUGUUCGUGAAAACUCACAGCUCAACUGUGGGCGUGCGGGCGAUACGGGCAGACUUGAGUACUGCAGGGGAGACUGGAAUUCCUGGUGUAGGGGUGGAAUGCGCAGAUAUCAGGAGGAACACCGGUGGCGAAGGCGGGUCUCUGGGCAGUAACUGACGCUGAGGAGCGAAAGCGUGGGGAGCGGACAGGAUUAGAUACCCUGGUAGUCCAA